AGGGCACCACCAGGAGUGGAGCCUGCGGCUUAAUUUGACUCAACACAGGAAAACUCACCCGGCCCGGACACUGGAAGGAUUGACAGAUUGAGAGCUCUUUCUUGAUUCAGUGGGUGGUGGUGCAUGGCCGUUCUUAGUUGGUGGAGUGAUUUGUCUGGUUAAUUCCGAUAACGAACGAGACUCUAGCCUACUAAAUAGAUCGUUGGCUUACAAACGCCGAACGAGACUUCUUAGAGGGACAGGCGGUGAUUCAACCGCACGAAACAGAGCAAUAACAGGUCUGUGAUGCCCUUAGAUGUCCGGGGCCGCACGCGCGCUACACUGAAGUGAUCAGCGUGCAUUCUAUGCCUACUCUGUCAAGAGUGGGAAACCCAAUGAACCUUCUUCGUGAUUGGGAUAGGAGAUUGUAAUUAUUCUCCUUGAACGAGGAAUUCCCAGUAAGCGCGAGUCAUAAGCUCGCGUUGAUUACGUCCCUGCCCUUUGUACACACCGCCCGUCACUACUACCGAUUGAAUGCUU
rnacentral:rRNA from 1 species